rnacentral:rRNA from 1 species
AACGAACGCUGGCGGCAUGCCUAACACAUGCAAGUCGAACGAGAACUUCGGGUCUAGUGGCGCACGGGUGCGUAACGCGUGGGAACCUGCACUUAUGUUUGGCAUAACUCUCAGAAUGGGGUGCUAAUACCGGAUAAUGUCUUCGAACCAAUGAUUUAUUGCCUUUGGUUGGUCCCUCGUUGGAUUAGCUUGUUCGUAGGGUAAUAGACUAACAAGGCGAGGAUUCAUAACUGGUUUGGGAGGCUGGUCAGCCACACUUGGACUGGGACACGGCCCAGACUCCUACGGGAUGCAGCAGUGGGGAAUAUUGGACAAUCGGCGGAAGCCUGAUCCAGCAAUGCCGCGUGAAUGAUGUAGGUAUUAGAGAUCUAAAGCUCAAGUACCCGGGAUGAUAAUGACAGUACCGGGAGAAUAAGCUCCGGCUAACUCCGUG